rnacentral:lncRNA from 1 species
AUGGGAUGUCUGCAAGUGUCAAUCAUUAAACGUUUACCUAGAGUUGAGACGUUCUUUCACGAUGUGAACCAUUAGAUUGCAUCAUGCAUGAAUUUCAAAGUAUUUCAAGUUCCUCGUUUAUCCAUAUGGAUAGAUCUCAAAAUGUUUAUUGUGCACUUCAACGAUAAAUUCUUAGGAAUAAAGAUAAAAUCAUUCUUUCAUACAAAAGGUGCAACCCU